CCCUAUAGUAGAGGACUAGCCCGGCGAAAGUCGGAUUAAUACUCUAUGUUUUCCGUUGCAGACAUCUAAGAUGGAACAAAGGCUUGCCGCUAUAGGAUGGGGAUGCGUCUGAUUAGGUAGUCGGCGGGGUAACGGCCCACCGAGCCAUCGAUCAGUAGGGGUUCUGAGAGGAAGGUCCCCCCACAUUGGAACUGAGACACGGUCCAAACUCCUACGGGAGGCAGCAGUGAGGAAUAUUGGUCAAUGGGCGAGAGCCUGAACCAGCCAAGUAGCGUGCAGGAUGACGGCCCUAUGGGUUGUAAACUGCUUUUAUGCGGGGAUAAAGUUCGCUACGUGUAGUGUUUUGUAGGUACCGCAUGAAUAAGGACCGGCUAAUUCCGUGCCAGCCGCAGC
rnacentral:rRNA from 1 species